rfam:Bacillus badius strain MTCC 1458 Contig27, whole genome shotgun sequence.
UCUGGUGGCGAUAGCGAAGAGGUCACACCCGUUCCCAUCCCGAACACGGAAGUUAAGCUCUUCAGCGCCAAUGGUAGUGAGGGGCUUCCCCUUGUGAGAGUAGGACGCUGCCAGGC